rfam:Streptomyces abyssalis strain SCSIO 10390 scaffold2, whole genome shotgun sequence.
CCGGUACCUGAUACGGCCGGAACUGCCACCGGUACCUGAUACGGCCGGUGCAG